GGGGGAUAAUGUGCCAUUUGGGAAACCCUUGCGCCUCAAUCCCCCGUGAGUGCAGAAGGGUUUCGGAUCGUCAAACCCUUUUCUUUGGGAAGAAAAAAAGACGGUUUCCCCGAAGAAAGACCCUGCACAUCUCGUUCCAGCAGCCGCGGUAAUACGUAGGGGACAAGCGUUGUCCGGAUUUACUGGGCGUAAAGGGCACGCAGGCGGUUUUUUAAGUCAGAUGUGAAAGGUACCGACUCAACCGGUGACAUGCAUUUGAAACUGAAAGACUUGAGUAUUGGAGAGGCUAGUGGAAUUCCUAGUGUAGCGGUGAAAUGCGUAGAUAUUAGGAGGAACACCGGUGGCGAAGGCGGCUUGCUGGACAAAUACUGACGCUGAUGUGCGAAAGCGUGGGGAGCAAACA
rnacentral:rRNA from 1 species